rnacentral:lncRNA from 1 species
AUGUCCAGGCACUAUGCAUCCCCACCUUUCAGCUCCUAGAACAGCAGAAUGGUCUCCAGAGUCACCCUGACACUGUAGAUGACAUGUUCAGCCUGGAUAGCUACCAGGUUUAUUUAGUGUAGCCCUGUCAUCUUGCUGAAGAGCCAAGUAAUCAUCCUUAUAUCACAGUGGGCCAUUGCCUCUACUACCCUGGACCACUGGGAUGCCAACUGUAGUGUCAUGAGUUUCCCACCAGACCUCAUCCAUACAGGGGUAGCCAAUGACCAUGGGGAAGACUUUGAUUUACAGAAAGAACUGAUUGGGCAGGUGAUGAACCAGCUUAGACAGUAACUUGUCAGCCAGUUGCUCCACACAUGCUGCUUUUGUCUCCUCCCCAACAUACCCUACCCAAUGUGGCUAAAGUGCUCUAGGAGGUCAUGCAGGUUGAAAGUCCAAUUUUUUUUUGUCAAUGGUUAGAGAAUUCCUUGAAAGGACUGCCAAAGGAGACAACCAUGGGAGCCCAGCACAGUGACACACAAACAACUUACAGACUUCCACAUGCAAGUAACUGGUGCUGAGGAACGUAAGCAAUUUGCUGGACCUUGCAAGACUUCACCAGGUUCUUUCAACAG